rnacentral:tRNA from 1 species
GACCCUGUAGUCCAGUUUGGAUAUCAUUUAAUAAGAUGACCAAAAAGGGCGCUGGCUUGCGGAGCCAGAAGUCGAGGGUUCAAAUCCCCCCAGGGUCGCCA